AGGCGGAGCGGGGAAGGGAGCGGAAGGCGGGCGGGAGGCGGCGGCGGCGCCGCGCUCGCCCCGCUGCCCUGGAUGACGGGCGGCCGGUUCGACUUCGACGAUGGCGGCACCUACUGCGGCGGCUGGGAGGACGGGAAAGCCCACGGGCACGGCAUUUGCACCGGGCCCAAGGGGCAGGGCGAGUAUGCCGGCUCCUGGUCCCACGGCUUCGAGGUGGCGGGCGGCUACACCUGGCCCAGCGGCAACACCUACCUGGGCUACUGGGCGCAGGGCAAGCGCCACGGGCUGGGCGUGGAGACGAAGGGCAGGUGGAUGUACCGCGGCGAGUGGUCCCACGGUUUCAAGGGGCGCUACGGGGUGCGGCAGAGCCUCAGCACGCCGGCCCGCUACGAGGGCACCUGGAGCAACGGGCUGCAGGACGGAUACGGCGUGGAGACCUACGGGGACGGAGGUACCUACCAGGGGCAGUGGACAGGAGGGAUGAGACAUGGAUACGGUGUACGUCAGAGUGUACCCUAUGGCAUGGCCACCGUGAUCCGUUCACCUCUCCGAACAUCUCUGGCGUCACUUCGAAGUGAGCAGAGCAAUGGUACUGUUCUGCAUGAUGUCACUUCAGACAGUCCGGCUGGAACAAGAGGAGGAUUUGUGCUCAAUUUUCACAGUGAUGCAGAAGCCAUGGGCAUUAAGAAAAAAGGAGGCUUAUUCAGAAGAGGAUCCCUUCUUGGUAGUAUAAAACUUAGAAAAUCGGAAUCUAGGUCAUCGAUAUCUAGCAAACGGAGCUCUGUCAGGAGCGAUGCUGCUAUGAGCAGAAUUAGUUCUAGUGAUGCCAACUCUACAAUUAGUUUUGGAGAUGGUGACUGUGAUUAUAGCCCUCUGGAAGACCAUGUUGAUGCUACCACUACGGAAGCCUAUAUGGGUGAAUGGAAGAAUGAUAAGCGCAGCGGUUUUGGUAUCAGUGAGCGUUCAAAUGGUAUGAAAUACGAAGGAGAGUGGCUGAAUAACAGGAGGCAUGGAUAUGGAUGUACCAUGUUUCCAGAUGGCACCAAAGAAGAGGGAAAGUACAAAAAUAACAUUUUGGUCCGUGGAAUAAGAAAGCAACUUAUACCAAUACGAAACACAAAAACUAGAGAAAAGGUGGAUAGAGCAAUAGAGGGUGCACAGCGAGCAGCUGCCAUGGCAAGAACCAAAGUGGAAAUUGCAACCUCAAGAACCGCACAUGCAAGAGCUAAAGCUGAUGCUGCGGAUCAGGCUGCUCAGGCUGCUCGCCAGGAAUGUGAUAUUGCAAGAGCAGUUGCCAGAGAACUGUCACCAAAUUUCUACCAACCAGGCCCUGAUUAUAUCAAACAAAAAUUUCAAGAAGGAAUGGAUGCAAAAGAAAAAUCUGAAGAAAAAGGUCAGGAGAAACCACCCACCCCAAAAGAGUCACCUCACUUUUAUCGAAAAGGUACUACACCCCCUCGAACCCCAGAAGCAAGCCCAAGAAAUAGUCCUCCUCUUUCUUCUGAGACUUCUCCUUCAAAACAACUGAAAAGGCAAAGCUCCACUUCUGGGGCAAGACUCAAUCAAGACAAAAAGCUUUUAGCCACUGAGAAUAUAACACCCACAACUAACAAGCCUUUAUAUUCAAAAGCACCGGUGAAAGAGGAAGUAGCUGGGAAACACCAGCCAAAGUUUUCAGCCCAGCACAAUCCCAGCAGCACAGAGAAUGGGGAGCUGCAUGGUCACUACCAUGGCUAUUAUGUAAAAAUGAAUCCAACAGUGCUUCCACAGGAGCUCAGGGAAGAAGAUGAAUAUGCCAACCCUUCACCAUCAACGCUUGCACGGAUACCACCCUCUCAGAAGCCAAGCCCUGCUAGAUCUGGGGGUAAGCCAGAUGCCAAAGAAAACAAGCCUGACAUAAAAAUUAAGAAAACAGAAUUUGCUGCACCAAAGAACCCAGCUAAUAAUGAGUCACAUUCAGCAAUGGAGAAAGAAGUAGGAAACAGCUCGGUAAAGAUUUUUAAACACACAGUGUUUAGCCUGGUUUUUACCUGAAUGCUACACAGUGAUUCUACUCCCAUUUUUUUGUUCAAUUCUCAUCUUUUUGUUCAGCUAACAUCCAUUUAGUAAGGGCUGUAAAUACCAUGAUGUUUGAUAAAUAUGUGUGUAUUUUAUAUGUAAAGAUGUGUGCUUGCCUUAUCAUAAAAAAAAACCUCUGAGAAAGAACUUUAGGCUAAAUUUAAUGGACAUUCCUAAUGCAAUGGAAUUACAAGCCUAGUGUUUUAUUUCCUGGUACUACAUUUUAGGAAAAUAACUUUCUUUCUUCCCCAAAUUGAAACUAAUCAUUUGGUUGUAUUUUGAACUACAUAAAUGUUUAAUUUACAAGAAGCUGAAAGGGUAAAUUUGAGCAGGACUGAAGGUUUUCUGCUGGAGCUUCUUUAGAACAGUGCACCUGUUCUGGUCACUCUAGGAUUGUUCAUACUAAUUUUGGCUUUUGCUAUUUUAAGCCCUUGCGGGACACUAAAGUCUUACUUGUGGUAUUUGUCUUAAAGCAUUAAUGCUUAUUUCAUAGGUGUCUACAAAACAGGUGGUAGUUCAUUGCAUAAUAACUGUGUGCUUCAUGAACGUUGUUUGAUCAUUUUUUAGUGUACCAGGAAAUCCUGCUUUGGGCUGAAAAGUACAGUUAUCAGAAGCUGAAACACAAUGUGCAUAGCAGGCCAAAGAGUAUGAGCUCUACUUCUUUCUAUAAAGAGAUAUCUUUAUGAUAUUUCAUUAUCAUAAAGAGAUAACAUAUUUUUCUAUGGUCUUCAUGGGAACUCAACAGCCCAGUUCUUAAGGUGUCACUUGCUCCUGUCUUUGUAGAUGAGACUUCUUGAUUCAGAGCAUAGCCCCUGGGGUUUUUAGCCUAAUUCAUCUAAUGUUACUGUGGUGAGAUUGUUUUACCUAACCUGACUGACAGAUGCAUCAAAAGGGAAGUCCCCUUCCCCUUCAACAAGCUUGAUUCCCUGAGACUGUGCACUAAUGAUACCAAGGUGCCAUUAGAGUUCUAGUACCAAUUUGGAAAUCAGCAAAAAUCUGUCUGGCAGCUACCAGGAUGCUGUUCCAUGGUGUAUUUCAGGUAAUGAACAAGUUCUUGGCUCCCGUGGAGACACUGUGGUUCCAAUUUUUUUUUUUUUUCAGUUGCAAUAAAUCAAUGUGAUUUUCACAGCUGUUAUUUUCAAAUAUGCAAAGUACUAGAUGGACAAAUCCUGAAAAAUUUUAAUGGUACUUGGCAAUGAUCUUCACAGUUCCUUGCAAUUCCUGCUGCAGUAUAACUGUAAAAUCUUCCGGUGGGUUUCCAGCCUAUAAAGGAGCCAUUGACCUGAUUUGAAUCACAUAGCCAGUCCCUAUUAGAAUCAUAGGAUUAUAGAACAAAGUGUUUGAGUUGGAAGGGAUAUUUAAAGACCAUCUGUUUCCAACCCCUGUGCCAUGACAGAGACAUCCUCCACUAGACCAGGUUGCUCAAAACCCCACCCAGCACUUCCAGUCAUGGGCCAUCCACAGCUUUUCUGGGCAACCUGUUCCAGUGCCUAACACCAGAAAGAACAAUGUUGAACUCGUAUCUUAGUGGAAAUUAAUAGUGCAUUCAAAUCACACGUCUGUGGAGAGCAAGGCUGCUCACAGUGCUGUGGUAACCGUAUCUGGAGCUGUGCUUUCCUUUUAUGCCUGUUCUCUGCCCCCGAGUGUCUCGUGUGCUUUAACACAUGGUGAGUCACUGCCACAAAGGAGGAAGGAACAUGGUUCCACUUCUGUGACCUGAUGGUUGAAACAUACCACUGGUAAGUGAGAGCUUGUUAUUCAAAAUCACUUGGCCUAAGGUGUCAUUAAACCUGGUCUUCAAUUUCCUAGUGAAUAUUUUAGACAUUCUGCCAUUAAGCAAAACGUGGGUGCUACUACCAAUACUAUUACCCCUAUGUCAUCAUUUAAUUGGCAUUCUGAUAAUCUCAAUCAUUGUGUGAACUUGAGCAUGUGCUUCUCAGCAUGUGAACAGACAGCUCUGAGCUGGUGCAAAGGGAACUUGAUGGAGGUUAUGGACAGAGGUGCCGAUGAGGUUUUGGCUCACCAGAGAUUUAAGCACUACCUGACAUAAUGUAUUUUGUGACUUACUCAAAAACUUAGCAGCCCACAUCUGGCCUGCCAUCUGAACUACUGUGUAAAGGUGUGUUCCAAUGGAAGGUGUUCCAUGCCACUGUUUCAGGAGAGCAUGUGAUACAAUAAUGACACAAGUACUUUUCCAUAGCUUCCCAGUUACACUGUUGCAGCAAAUUACUAACAACAAGUUCUUACACCUCAGCAUUCCAGAAAUUACAUAGCGUAUGUUAGCAUUAUGUUGUCAUGAAGCAUAAUGAACUUCUCCAAAGCAUGCCUCAUGUGAAAAGUGAAAACGCUGUUUGAUUUCUCAUUCAAUAUAUACCUUCUUAUGCAAGCCAGUGAUCCAGGUGUAGCUCAGAAGAUAGUUUUCUGCACAGAUUUUCUGGUGGGCUUCGUGAUUUGAGAUUUAGGAAAGUAUUGUCUAAAUGAAAAGUUUCUCUGUUUCUGCGUACAGUGGAACUGUAAAAUAAAAGAGUAUAAAAAUCUUCAUAAAAUUAUGUUGUAAUAAACCAAAUAUGUUAAUGGCAGAAGAGAACGGAGAAUUUUCAUCUGUUGAGACAUUUUUCAAGUUGGUCAUUAGAAAGCAUCCAUUUUUUAAAAAAAAAAUCCAAAAUUGCCUAAAAGAAUUAAAAACUGUUUUCUGGCUUCACAGAAAUACUAAAAUAGCAUAAUGAUUUAAAUUUUCUAACCAAUUUUAGCUCUAGCUAAGAAUGGAAGGAGUUUUCUGAUUUUUCAUUUCUUGAGUACAUAGGUCCUUAAGAUAAGUCUGAAUAAAUCAAAACAAGUUUAAUUUUGCAGUUGUAAAGUAAACAGGUUUGUUAGUGCAAUGGUAAGUAAAUUUUCUUUUCUAUUUUGGUUAUCAAAAAAGUGUAUUCUUUUCAUAAAGCAUCUUUGUUAUGUCUGUUUUGAAAUGGGUUAGAACUGGAAAAGGAGCCCUCUGUAAGGAUGAAGAGCAACAGCCUCACUUCCCUAAAGUAGUUCACAUUCUUUUUUUUAAGUUUUGCUUUAUUUUAAGAUGACAUUGUUUUUGUGUGGAUGGGUUUGUUUUCAUUUGUUGAUGCAGUUGUAUUUGUCAGGUGGCUUAAUCUCAGUGUGAUUAAGAACAGUGAAGUACUAUACUUUCACCUGUAUUUAUCCAGCUCAUUUUCACACAGAUGAUAUUUAUCUCAUCUGAAUAUCACCUGGCCGUGUUUUGGCAGCAGGGUCUGUUUCCCUCAGAGCAAGGUCAAAACCUAUAGAAAUUGUGAAGUCAGGUCUUUUUUAUUGUUGUGCAUAUGUCGGAGGUUGCAUUAAUUCUGAUAUCUCUGUUUUAUUUUCAGGGCCCUAACUCAGUCAUGAUCGCCCUGGUAAUGCUGUUGAAUAUUGGUUUAGCCAUUCUUUUUGUCCAUUUUCUAACUUGAUUGGAAUUAGGAAAGAAGUAUGUUGAGAAUCCUGUGUUUUGACCAGUGUGGAUAAAGAAGAAAGCAGAAAGAGAGCAAAUGAAAAUAAAACUUGUAUAUUUAUUUUUAAAGAAAAAAAAAAAACAAAAAAUUUAAAUUGUGUUUUAAAUUUAGGAAAGUAAUUUUUAAAUACGAACAAAAUUUUAAAAGUUACUGUGUAAGCCUUGAAUUUAUGGAUGAAAUGUUCCAUCCCACUGUUAAAUCACCCCCUGUCUCCUUACAUGGAGAGGUAAUUUUGUAACUGACAUAUUUAAUUCCUAUUAAAUGUUUAUUUAAAAUACUUUAUGCUCUGGAAAUAAUGGGUAACAAAGCUUAUGAAAAAUGUUUAUAAAUUUAAGUAAGCAUGUUAGUACCAUUUAUAAAUAUGUAUGAUUUAUAAGCUUUUUUAAAACAAAGCUCAAACAAAUUGUUGGUAUUUUUCUAAAACGUGCACAGUUGUAUUUUACAUGAAAGGCUAUUUAUAAUUGGUUGUUAUACUGUACACUACAUUUUGGACAGCACAAUGAAGCCUGCCAAUGUACUUAAAAAUGUCAUUUUGUCUAUUUAAAGUUUCUUGCUGUCAAAGAAUGAACUCUUUAUCUAUGAGUUUCUCUGUUUAUAAUUCUUGACCCAAAAUGUACAAUGUACAGUUUUCACAACUGUAUUUGCUCUAAUAAAAAUAAAUUGGUUAUUAAUAGAGUUUCAGGCUACUUUUUCCUGUUUAUGAAUUAUUUUGUUCACUCUUUGGAAGCAGUUUUUUCUAACUAAUCAGAUAAACAGGAGUGAAGCAGGAAAAUGGGUGAAAUUCUAGUUCCUUCAAAAUCAUUGUGAGUUACUGUUUUCAACAAAAGUGAUUCUGGGAAACAAUUAAAAAUAAAUUAAAAAAAAAAAAAA